AGUGAACGCUGGCGGUAGGCCUAACACAUGCAAGUCGAACGGCAGCACAGUAAGAGCUUGCUCUUACGGGUGGCGAGUGGCGGACGGGUGAGGAAUACAUCGGAAUCUACUUUUUCGUGGGGGAUAACGUAGGGAAACUUACGCUAAUACCGCAUACGACCUACGGGUGAAAGCAGGGGAUCUUCGGACCUUGCGCGAUUGAAUGAGCCGAUGUCGGAUUAGCUAGUUGGCGGGGUAAAGGCCCACCAAGGCGACGAUCCGUAGCUGGUCUGAGAGGAUGAUCGGCCACAGUGGAACUGAGACACGGUCCAGACUCCUACGGGAGGCAGCAGUGGGGAAUAUUGGACAAUGGGCGCAAGCCUGAUCCAGCCAUACCGCGUGGGUGAAGAAGGCCUUCGGGUUGUAAAGCCCUUUUGUUGGGAAAGAAAAGCAGCAGGUUAAUACCCCGCUGUUCUGACGGUACCCAAAGAAUAAGCACCGGCUAACUUCGUG
rnacentral:rRNA from 1 species